GCAGUGGAGAAAACGGGCCAAAAAGUCUAACAACUCCAAAGAAAUUUAAAAGGACAGCAAAUGCAGAAAAUGUCAGGCAUGUUGGGAAAAUGACUAUUUUUUUAACUGAGUUUAGAGGGAAGUGUGUAUGUUUAAUUUGUCAGGAAUCAGUUACUAAUACUAGUAAAAUAUUAAGAGACAUCUCAGUUUACACAACACUGUAGGGGUGAAACGAUUACUCGAGUAAAUCGAGUAACUCGAUUCACAAAAUUGAUCGAUUAAUUUUCUGUGCCUCGAGUAAUCGUUUAUUUAAUUAAUAAACUCAGCGCGCGGUAUUUUCGCGACUUUUAUUUUGACAACGCGCUCAGCGUUACGUCACCCUCACCCGGGAAGAGAGAGACGGAGGUUUGAGCAGCGGCAAAAAUGGAAGCGGCGAGAGAAAACAGCGAUUUUAAAGGAAUAAAAGCAUUUUAUGUUCGAACUGUGACCUGUACUCGGUGCAGUGCCAAAACAGCGCGUUUUAAUGCUGCACCAUCUGAGCCGAGGACACCCGAGACGCGAGGACGCCGAGAGAGCAGGUCCUGAUAUAUUUUGGAGAAGCGGCUUGGUGGUAAAAGAAUGCAGCACACUGAUCCAACACUGGCAGAACUGACAACGUCUCAGAAGCUAAGAUGCACAACACAAAGACGAUGUUUAUGCCUUUUUUUAUUGAUUUAUACCCUAUAUUUGAUAUUUACAAGAAAUCCUAAUGUGAAAGUAAUGUAAUUAAAUGUAUUUUUUUAUUGUGGUAUUUAUUUAUUUAUUUAUUGUGUCUUAUUUAUUUGUAUUUGCAAUUUGGAAAUAUAUGUUGUGAAUUUAAAAAUAUAACUUAUCUAAAAAAGGAAACCAAUUGGUCAUUCAUUAUUGAGUAAAAUGCCUUUUUAAUUGCUCUUUAACAAAAAAAAAAGUUUUAUCCGAUUACUCGAUUAAUCGAAUCGAUUUUUCAGUAGAGUACCCGAUUACAAAAAGAAUCGAUAGCUGCAGCCCUACAACACUGUCAAAGAUAUAUAAAGAUAGUAACUCAAGUAAAAUGGUGUGUGAAUGACAGUAAUUAAGAAAAUGUAUUUUUAUAAGUGGUAUAUUUCAUUAUUUGUUUUAUUACAGGGUCUGUGGCCCGUGAUUGCACAUAUUUUUCUCCUUCUGGCCCCCAAACAAAAAAAAAGUUUGGACACCCCUGGUAUAGAAAAUCAGUAGUGUAAAU
rnacentral:lncRNA from 1 species